GGGUGGGAGUGGCAGUGGUAGCUUGACAACUGAGAACCGAGUUUCAUAGCCUGAAAUUUGUCUUAUAACUAAUCCAAUAGAUUCAUGGGGAUUUGAUCAGUUGAGUACAAGGUAGGUGAGACCAUUUGAGUCCAUGCUCCAAACUAUGUUAUGUGCAGCAUGGGAGAACCUUUUUAGCCGAGUGUUUGGAAGAAUUGGUUUGGUCAUUGUUCUUGUGGGGGGUGUGAUGGAAUGAUGUAUUGUUGUAUGAGUGGGACUUCUUUUUCUCUUCUCUUAUUCGAUUUUUCGUUUGUAUUUGUGGAAUUAGUUAGCAU
rnacentral:misc_RNA from 1 species